UCCCUGGUGGUCCAGUGGCUGAGACUCCAUGUUUCCAAUGCAUGGGGCCCAGGUUUGAUUCCUGGUCAGGGAA
rnacentral:tRNA from 1 species